rnacentral:rRNA from 1 species
CUCCUACGGGACGCAGCAGUGAGGAAUAUUGGUCAAUGGACGAGAGUCUGAACCAGCCAAGUAGCGUGAAGGAUGACUGCCCUAUGGGUUGUAAACUUCUUUUAUAUGGGAAUAAAAUGUUCCACGUGUGGGAUUUUGUAUGUACCAUAUGAAUAAGGAUCGGCUAACUCCGUGCCAGCAGCCGCGGUAAUACGGAGGAUGCGAGCGUUAUCCGGAUUUAUUGGGUUUAAAGGGGGCGUAGGCGGACGCUUAAGUCAGCGGUAAAAUUGCGGGGCUCAACCUCGUCGAGCCGUUGAAACUGGGUG